rnacentral:rRNA from 1 species
UACGUAGGGUGCAAGCGUUAUCCGGAAUUAUUGGGCGUAAAGAGCUCGUAGGCGGUUUGUCACGUCUGCUGUGAAAACUGGAGGCUCAACCUCCAGCCUGCAGUGGGUACGGGCAGACUAGAGUGCGGUAGGGGAGAUUGGAAUUCCUGGUGUAGCGGUGAAAUGCGCAGAUAUCAGGAGGAACACCGAUGGCGAAGGCAGGUCUCUGGGCCACUACUGACGCUGAGAAGCGAAAGCAUGGGGAGCGAACAGG